AGAAAAAAGGCGUAAACGCAGCCGUAGUAGAUCUUCCUCAUCGUCGUCUUCUUCCAGUUCGUCGUCAGAGUCGCUCUCGGCUUCGUCCAGUUCUUCAUCGGGGUCGUCGCACUCAUCCAGCAGCAGCCGGAGUAGUUCCACAAGCAGCGACUCCAGAAGUAAGUCCAAAAAGCAGUCAAAGAAACGGAAAAGGGACAAACCAAAAAAGCUGAAGGCAAAGAAAGAGAAGCGACAGAAACGGAAAAAGGAAAAGAAAUCCAAAGGAGGGGAAGAAAACUCUGGGCCUGUUCAGAUAUCCAAGUACUUGAAGGAAAAGAAAAAAGGCAAGAAGUACAGCAUGAUUUCAGGAAAGAAGAUCAAGAUGAAAGUAAAGAAGUCAAAAAAGGACAAACAGCGGGACAAAAAUCGAGCCGAACUUCUGGAGUUUUUGAACUCUACAUUGUGAUUUUUCCCGAGUGGACACCACCGCCGACCUCAGGAAACUACAAGUAGGCUGUCCAGGGGGAAGAAAUGUAAAUAAAGGUUGAUGUUAAUUGAACCAGGGCAGGGCGCACCUUGAAGCAGCGUACACGCAUACCAAUGUUUAACAUUUGGCUCAAUAAUUUAAAUGUGGCAAGAAAUAAGUGUGUGCCUCCAUUGACAAUUGCAACAUUCAUACCUUAAAACAAAAUGCUGAUGUGUAAGCUGCACAAAAGAAGCGCACAACAACAAAUAUUUUUGAAAUGAGAAUUUAUAUUUAUUACAUUUUGGCAUAUAAAAACCAUUCACAUGCAGAAAAAAGCAUUAAUUGGAAUGAGAUUAAUCUGAAUAUCUAGUGCAUUAAACAUUGUGUUAUUUAAAAGUUAGGCAAGUUAGCGCUUUUCUCAAAUGACGUCACGUUCGCGCAUGAAUAUUCAGCAGAGCUCUCAGUCGGAUAAACACAGGUGGAAAGGAGGGCGACAUUCCAACACCAUGUUAUUGCCAAACUUCGUGUGGAACAACUCAAACGUUGGCUGACAUGCAGUCAGCGAGAAGAAAGCCGUUUUGGUCGAUAGGUCGCUCAAACGGGUUCCCUCAGACGAAAUCAGGCCUGCCGUGCUCCCGAAGGGGUUGAUCUUGAUGCGGGACCUGAAGUUCACCAGCGACAUACUCUUGGUGCGUUUAUUGCUCCACUGGCGAGCAAGCCUUUGUGCCUCCUGCUCCUCCUUAAAUUGCUCCACAGCCUCCAGAAGGACAGAGCGGAAGAGGAUCGACACCUCCUGCACUUCCGGCUCGCUGGCUUGGAUUGCGUCGCGGAACCUGCGGACAACCAAGACAGAUCUGUCGUUUUGUUUCGAUAAACCAAGGCAAUCUCGUACCUGAGUAUGACCAGUCCACAGCAAGAUGGCGGCACCUUGGAGCAGAGGUCCUCCAGGCCCAGCCUUUCCCCCGUGCUAAUGUUAUAGGACGAGCGUGGCGCGCUGGCCAACCAGCUGUAAUCCACUCCGGUCUUGAGGCGCCGGUACUCACUCUCCCUCUCUCUCUGCUGCCUCUCCGCCUCCUUCAGCUGCCAGCUCAGCUCGACCAUUAGCGUGUCAGUGACCACGUCGGCCGGCUCCCUGCGGGGGAUGCGCUGGUGAGGCUCGCUCCAGCUGAACCAGGAGGCCAUGGACGUCAUCGACAACUCCCCCCUAAAAAGACAAAAUUGUGAGUGAAGCCGUCAGUCCGAUGAUAUGAGAAACCUGGCUGACACGGUAUGGAUCAUCUAUCUUUCUCUCGCUCUCUCUCUUUCUCUCUCUCUUGCGCUCCAUUAUAUUCACCUCUCUGAACCCCUCCUACUCCUCUUCCUCCCUGGAGGCUUCCAUGGCCUGCCUUUACUUGUUGCGCUAGGUCGGGGGCUCCAGCAUCUCCACCGGGAGCUUGAGGCACCUGAUGAAGAAGUGCUUAUGUCCCUUUAUUUAUUUAUUUUUCUCUCCUGCAAUUCUCUGUUACUAUAGUGACCGGCUUAAGCCUAUUUGUCCACAAUAACCGCCAUCAGCUGAGAGGGGGAGCGAUGAAGAGGCAGAUAAAAGGAAGAGAGAUUUAAAAGGGGAUGUGGUGCUUGAUCAAACAUGGGCACCAGGUCAUACGUAUGCAAAUGAGCCUCCUGCAGAUAAUGAGUGUCCCUGACCCACAGCGGCCUGCCUGAGUUAGAAGAUGCAUCUAGUUUGACUGUGCAGCAACAUCACGGUUUCGUUUCGUGUGUAGGUGUGAGCGUACGCACUGCAGUAUGAACUAUGAACUCUGCUGACUCACACGACACUUUACAGCAGUCUCCACAGAAUUGAAAUUUUAUCCAAAACAUAUCGAUGUAAAUCUAAUCUAAAAGAAUCCUCCCGUUAAUCAUUCCCAAAUGAGAGUUUAUGUCCAAAGGUUGGAGGUAACAGAUGGGAAGGUAAGCUGGUUCUCGGAAAGCCCACGUGACCCGGCCCUAAUCUUUUAAAGUGAUUCGCUCAGCCGCUAGUGUGCUCCACUUGGCCUUCCUUUCAAAUAGCACAACUUGCAUUUAUAGAGGCUAACAGAAUAGGAGGUAUUGAGGUGUGUUAUGAUGAUUGAAAACCAGAAUUCUGCCAAUAUUUGUGUUUUGUCCGUCGUUGAGCAAGGAAAACAAAAAGAUGUGGAGUAACACUUGGUUCUUUAUUUGCAGGAUCUUGGGGUGUUUAAUGGCGGUCAGUACACAUGGCACUUCAGCAGAUGAAACAACAACGUCAUAGUCCAGGUCAGAAGGUUUUAUACUGUCCACUAAGAGGAACUAGGAAGGGAAGGAAAACCAUCUCCUUGUAAGGUUCUGUUUUGCAUCCAUCACCUGAAUGUUCUGUGUCUAAUCAGUCCUCAAGUCCAACCAUGCUGCAGCUCACGUCCCACAGCUUCUUUGCCGCUUGUCGGUCCGUCGCCUUCUCGAGCAGCUCCUCUUCCUCGCAGUUCGCGAAGCACUUCCCCGACACCCCUUCCACCUCCGGCGAACAAGCCAGAUAGAGAGGCGUCUGCGCACCCUCUAGUGGACUCUUGAAGAAUAGCAGAGAAGCCAAGUAGAAGAGCGGCUUCGCCAGCAGGGGAAUGUGAACGUGCCUGCCCAGCCUGGUCCUCACGAUGCCGGGCGUGAGCGCGUUGACCGUCACCCCAGAGCCCUCCAGCCUCUCCGCCAGUUCGAGGGUGAACAGCAGGUUGGCCAAUUUACUCUGACUGUAGCAGAAUGCUUUGUUGUAUUUCGUCUCGCUGUUCAGGUCUUCAAAGUUGACUCGGCCGUACUUGUACAAUUUGGAGGACACCACGACCACGCGGCUGGGGGCGGAACUCUUGAGGAGGUCGAGCAGUAGGUGAGUGAGCAGGAAGUGACCCAGGUGGUUGACGCCUAGCUGCAUCUCAAAGCCAUCCUCCGUCUUGGAGUAGGGACACUGGUAGACGCCCGCGUUGUUGACGAGGACAUCCACCUUGGGCUCCUCCUAAAAGCUCAAGAACAAUUGUGCGUUCAGGUGUCAGAUUCGUUGGAGAAGCAUUUCAUUAAAUUCAUUUGUAUUAUUCGGAGGUGAGAUCAUUUGGAUUCAUUCUAUGCUACCGAUCAACACCAUGGACAGUUCACCUAAACAUUGCGCAACAACUCAGUGGAGACGUUAAAGCUCACCUCUUGAAUCUCUUGACAAAAUUUACGGACCGAUCUGAGCGACGCAAGGUCCAACUGUUUGAUGACCACCUCCCCGAGCUCUGAGCCCGAAUGUCCCUGGAUGUCCCGGGCCGCCUCGGUGGCGCUCUGCCGAUCCCGGCAAGCCAUGAUGACGCGUGCCUGGAGCUUCAGUAGUUCCCCGGCUAGGGCUUUCCCGAUGCCGCUGUUCGCUCCUGUCACGAUGACAGUUUUCCCUCGCAUCAAGCCCGCCGGGUACUGGAGAAGCUUGACUGAGUUCUGACGGGGGAACAAGCGGCGCAUGACGAGCAGGACCCCGCCGCCGACGACGGCAGCGAUCAAAACCGCAGUUGCCAUUGACUCAACGAGGAGUGAUCGGUUGCGAGCGUAGUGAUAUGUUAGGUAAUUAGCCACCGGAAGUAAACAAACUCGGAGCUACAUUAACCCGGAUAUGUUAGGUAAUUAGCCACCGGAAGUAAACAAACUCGGAGCUACAUUUACCCGGAAGUAAAAAGAACGGGUGUCGCUGUGCUGAUAGUUACUACUUUUGUAUCUUUCUAGACUCUAACUCGGGUAGUAAUGUUAUUUAACUAACAAAAAAGAACUUUACUCUUCAGUUUUGAGUGUUACUAUCCCCAACUUACUAAGAAGCAGAAGUUCGAGUCGGAGUCUUCUGGCACCUGUGUGCGGUCCAGAGUAAACAUUCAAUCACAAGAGUUUCAAGUUGGAUGGCAGUCUGCUUGUUGACGAGUGGUGAAGUGGUCGGCCAGCGGGACGAGUGGUAAAGUGGUCGGCCAGCAGGACGAGUGGUUAAGUGGUCGGCCAGCAGGACGAGUGGUGUCUGAACCCAAGACAAAGAUCUGCAAGUCAAAAGUUAAGUCAACAUUUUGUGCAGAUAAAGCAUGAACCUUACCAGAGCUAAAGAAGAGUUGUUCAUGGCACCAAGUGUUGCAAGCUGCAUGGCCAGUUCCUUGCUCACUGUCGGAAAGUAGGGGGGGGGGGAACAAUAUUGGAACAAAAUUGUCAUGAUUGUGCAAUGAGGAGCAGCUCACCUAAGUGCAAAUGUGCCUCACUUCUCAGGUUGCCUUGGAGAUGAGGACACAACAAGAAAACCCAAGUGUAGCUAGCAUGCGGCUUUGCUCUGGCUUCUGUUGUGAGCAGCAGAGGACUCUUUCAGCAUGCCACAAUUUGGCUUGAGCUACAGGUGCUUCUACUCCACCCGCAGACUGGAACUUUCCGCUGAAGACUUCAGUCGUUUGUGCGCUUGUAUCCCAGAUGAGUAACAGCAGGCCGCGUUCCUGAAAUGUUGCAAAGACUCCUGGACUGCCACGCCUGCACACAAACAAGGUGUGCACGUGUUUCACCAGAGAAGAGCGCAGGGCAGCACCGGACUUCUCUUCAAACGGAGCUCGCUGGCCUGAAAGACACGAUGCAGGCCUGUGGACAGAAAGAGACAAUUAGAUGGAGUUGGUUUAAAGGACUUACGUGUGAAUCCACUUUAAUCGAACAGGAAGUCCAUCAUUUGAGGCUCAUUUGGAAAAGUCGCACCUGUAGAUAGAAAAAAAAAUUAUAUUCUGUUGUGAAUUCAUGCAAACUGUCUUACCUUAAGCAUACCGGCGUUUGAUGCAUCGUAGAGGAGGUUAACUGCCAACGCUAAAGCAACCGCUUUAGCUUGGAUGCUAGCAAGGUGUAAGUACGUCCAAACUGCAACUUGACGCUGAAAGAGAGCAAAAGUAGUUAGUUUUCAAAAGGCUGAGAAAUAGUGAACACUCACCUUGUCAAAGUUUUAAGCGCUGCAUGCUUUGGAGAAGCGUGCGGAGGGAGCAGCAGGUGGACCAGCUUCAACGCGACGCUGUCAGAAGUGAGCAAGGGAACGAUCGUCGCGUUUGUGACGUCUUAUAUAGGAAUUUUGUGAUGACGUCAUUAACGAGCUAAAGGAGAAAAAAAUAAAAGCUAGAUCUUAAUGGUGAAGCGAGAAGAAAAUUGUAAAGUUUAUAUUUAGGGAAUCGUCGGGGCGCGAACCAUGGUCCCAUUUGUCGCUGGCGAUGACGUUAACCACUCGACUACAGCCUGUUGGAUGCCGAACUCGGGUUUUAUGUAUUUGUAGAUUGUUUUGAAAAUCUUGUGUAAGUCUGUAACGACAAUAAAGUGCAACAAAGCAAAUGA